rnacentral:rRNA from 1 species
CCUACGGGAGGCUGCAGUAAGGAAUAUUGGUCAAUGGACGAAAGUCUGAACCAGCCAUGCCGCGUGGAGGAUGAAGGUCCUCUGGAUUGUAAACUUCUUUUAUAUGGGACGAAAAAAGGCCUUUCCAGGUCGUCUGACGGUACCAUAUGAAUAAGCACCGGCUAACUCCGUGCCAGCAGCCGCGGUAAUACGGAGGGUGCAAGCGUUAUCGGGAUUCAGUGGGUUUAAGGGGGGCGGUGGUUCGUUGGUAAAAUCCCCGAGCUUAACUUGGGAACUGCCAUUGAUACUAUCAGUCUUGAAUACCGUGGAGGUCAGCGGAAUAUGUCAUGUAGCGGUGAAAUGCUUAGAUAUGACAUAGAACACCAAUUGCGAAGGCAGCUGGCUACACGAGUAUUCACACUGAGGCACGAAAGCGUGGGGAUCAAACAGGAUUAGAUACCCCAGUAGUC